GUCAAUUCUCUGGUUCCAUUCCUGAUUCCAUAGGCAACCUAACACAAAUUACGGAGUUGAUUUACUUGGGAAUCAGUAGUCAUAGGCUACACUUUUGGACUAGUUGUUGGAACUGUCAUGUGGAGUCUCAUGUUUAAAUAUCGUAAGCCAAAAUGGUUUGUGGAAUUUUUUGAUGGACUCAUGCCUCACAAAAGAAGAAGGCCAAAGAGAAGAGCUCAAAGACGACGGACUUAAUGGAAGAUUGAGAGGGCAACCUUGUCUUUGUUUGAUUUUGUGGACUAAUUACUGAACUUUUCUGGUUCUGUUUUUGUCUUUUUAAUUUUCUGUUUGUUGUUUGUAUAUGUUUGAAAGAAACAUAAUUAUAUGUGAGUCAUUUAAUUAGUAUCAAUGGUUAUUCAAGUUAUGUUAGUUUGUUUCUGUUUCAAGUUGAUAGAAGUGAUCUACACAGCCGCUCAUUAGCUAUGUUACUCAAACUCUUCAAAAUGUCAACGGGUACGUGUUGAAUUCUUCAAAAGUAGUACAAUUUUAAGGAACCAACAUUGGUGUCAUUAUAUUUUAGGAGAGUCGGAGCAACAUAACUCAUCAGCAUAACAAAACAGGAAAAAGCAAAGCAGUAAGCAAAUUGAUCAGUUUGGUUUAUGAUUGAAAUCACUUGAUAUUAGAAAGUUUAUAUUUUUGAAAAUUAAUGUAGAAGAGUAAUCAAAACUACAGAAUUGGCUAAUAAUUUUGUGGUUCUGCAUCUUUCUAAUCAUAAAUCAGCCAUAAAAUAUUCUCUAGCUCAGUUUCAACUUCCGCGAUUUUAAUUUUAGUAAGUUUUUACAUAUAUUUAUACUUCGUGGACGAAAGUUAUCUCUGGUUGUUCAACAACUAAUUCAUAUUGUUUGAUUAUCAAUGAAGGAAAGGUUUUUUUAAAGGGCAAAACGCUCUAUACGAGGAUUUUUUAUUAUUUUUCAAGUUUGAAUUCAAGACCUGUGAUUCAGUUUCAUCCGGAACUUUACUGUCUACAAAACUACAUGUCAAAGUUAUUUUUGAUGAACUAAAAUAGACUUAUUCCCAAAAUUUAAUUUAACGCAAAAAGAAAUAUAAUCAAAUUAUUUAAAAAUUAAGAAAGACAAAUUAAAACCUUUACAUAAUUUGACACAUGGCAAAAUAUAAUUGGCUAAAAUUUUGGUCCCACAAAUAGUCAACUCACCUGUCAAAAAAUGACAUUCCUAUUUUCUUUUCCUAAUUUUAGUUUGGACACUUUGAAAACAAUUAAAGUAUCUUUGUCUGGUUAUGGCCGUUCAAAGCUUUGAUUAUAACAAGAAAGAUGAUUGAAAAUAUCGGUUUUCUUCCUUUUAAUUGGUUUGUUUUAUUAUUUUUUUGAAAUUUAAUUUAUUUAUCGUACUUUAUACUUAAAUUUGUCUCAAAAAGAAUAAUACGUUUCACAUAUAUAUAUAUAUAUAUAUUUAAGACUAUAACAUUAAAAGAUAUUUUGAUAUGUUUUUUAUAUAACUUUAAUUUAAUAUUAUAUCAUUGAAAAUUCUUCUUUACUUAUAUAUUUUUUUUAUUUUGAAUUUUUAUAUUUCAAUAUUCCACGUGACACGUUAAAAAGUCACUUUAGUAGUAUAAGAUUCAAAAGAUUUUUUUUUCACUUUGUUAAACUUAUAUCAAGUCGAUAGAAACUAGACAAACAAAUUAAAACGAAGUCACACUUUUCAAUACAUAUUCCAACUUUCAUUGAGUCUGAAGAUAUACUUUCUGAUUUAUUUAUUUUCAAGAAUUUACCUGUUGGAAGAACCCCACCAGAAGAAAACUCCAAAAAACAGACUAAAAAUCCCAACUUUGAGUUUUUCUUUCAACAAUUAUAAGUUUCAGUGAAAAUCUCAAGAUGUAAUUUUUUUCAAGAAUUCAUCUUUUAGGAAAACCCCAUAAGAAGAAAACUCCAAAAACAGAUUCAAAAUCUCACCUUUUUUUUAGAUCUUUUCAACAUUUUUCAGUUUAUUAGCUUACAAAAAUCACUGAACAAGGAAGAAGGGAUUCAAGAAAAAGUGGAAUAAAAAUGUCAUUUGUUUUAGGGGUUGUGUUUGGAAUAGCAUUUGGACUUGCUAUAAUAGUUGCUUUUGUGAAAUCUGAAAAUGCUAGAUCCAAACAACGUACUGAUCUGGUUAGUCAACUAAAGUCUUUGUUUUUUUUGGAUCUUUAUUUUUUUCCAUUUCUGGGUUUUUUUUUUGUAUUUAUGUUGUUUUUUUGGUUGAAUUGUAAAGGCUAGUGGAAUUGCUGCAUUUGCUAGAAUGACAGUGGAAGAUUCAAGAAAAAUCUUUACACCAGAACAAUACCCUUCUUGGGUUGUUUUCUCAAAUCAACAAAAGGUGAAGUCGUUUAACUUUUCUUUAAGAUGUAUUUGGUAGGACGCAGAGGCGGAGUCAGAAUUUUUAGUUUAUAUGGGUUCUAGACCACUGUUCUUUUUGUUUUGUUGGGUUUCUGAAAGCUAUGUUGCUCGGACUCUCAGAAAAUGUUGUUUGUACCCAUUCUGGAUUCUCUAAAGUUGCACUAGUUUGGAGUAUACGACACUAACCAUCAACCGUAACCAUUUUUGAAGAGUCCGAACAACAUUGACUGAAAAGACUAUUUUUACAUCUUAUAACAUUAAUAUAGGGUUAAACCAAAGCUACUGGAUUUUGAUGUACUUGUAGCUAAAGCAAUGUCAUUUAUCAUAAAUCUGUAAACUGACUUAUUUUCUAGAAAAUGUUUUUCGUAAUGGAUUUUUUUUUCUGGGAAAAGACAUUUAAUCGGAUAGUGUUUGGUGAAAAUAUUUGAGUAGUAAAGAUUGAUAAUAAUGUUUAUAUGUUGAGAUAAUUGUUUGCUCCUUUUUGGUGGAAAAUGUUUUCGCAAAACAUAUGUUCUAGCAGCCAAAAUCAGAAAAAAGAGAUUACAAACACACCGUUGAUGUCCUUAUCUGUUUUUGGAGCACAUAGUGACCAUAUAAGAUCAUUGAGAUUAAAUUCAUGCAUUAUGGUUCAAAUUGUGGUCUUUGGUUGCAAGACUGUCCCUUUAUGGACUUUGUUUAAUUUCUAUCUAGAAUACAUCUUGUGAUUUAGUUUGUUGAGGGCAAAAAAUGACCUUUUGAAUUUUUCAAUUUUGUUCUUACAGUUGGCAUGGCCAGAUGUUGUGAUUUAGUCAACUAAAGUUUUUGUUUUUUCUUACUUCAAUUUUUUUGGAUUUUUAGUUUUUUCCAUUUUUGGGGUUUUCUGUAUUUAUGUUGUUUUUUUGGUUGAAUUGUUAAGGCUAGUGGAAUUGCUGCAUUUGCUAGAAGGACAGUGGAAGAUUCAAGAAAAAUCUUCACACCAGAACAAAUACCCUUCUUGGGUUGUUUUCUCAAAUCAGCAAAAGAUGAAGUCUUUAACUUUUCUUUAGGAUGUAUUUGGUAGGACGUAGUGGCUGAGUCAGAAUUUUUAGUUUAUAUGGGUUCUAGACCAUUGGUUCUUUUUUGCUUUGUUGGGUUUCUGAAAAUUAUGUUGUUCGGACUCUCAAAAAAUGUUGUUUGUACCCGUGUCGGAUUCUCUAAAGUUGCACUAGUUUGGAGUAUACGCCAGUAACCCAUCACCCAUCACCAUUUUUGAAGAGUCCGAGCAACAUUGACUGAAAAGACUAUUUAUACAUCUUAACAUUAAUAUAGGGUUAAACCAAAGCUACUGGAUUUUGCCGUACUUGUAGCUAAAGCAAUGUCAUUUAUCAUAAAUCUGUAAAAUGACUUAUUUUCUGGAAAAUGUUUUUCGUGAUGGAUUUUUUUCUGGGAAAAGACAUUUAUUGUAGAUUGAAUCAGCAAAUUGGAUAGUGUUUUGGUGAAAAAUAUGUGAGUAGUAAAGAUUGAUAAUAAUGUCUAUAUGUUGAGAUAAUUGUUGUUCCUUUUUGAUGGAAAAUAAGAUUUUACCAAACACACUGUUGAUGUCCUUUACUGUUUUUGAGCACAUAGUGACCAUAUAAGAUCAUUGAGAUUAAAUUAGUGCAUUAUGGUUCAAAUUGUGGUCUUUGGUUGCAAGACUGUCCCUUUAUGGACUUUGUUUAAUUUCUAUCUAGAAUACAUCUUGUGAUUUAGUUUGUUGAGGGCAAAAAAUGACCUUUUGAAUUUUUCAAUUUUGUUCUUACAGUUGGCAUGGCUUAAUUCUCAUCUUGAAUAGAUCUGGCCAUAUGUGGAUGAGGUUAGGGGUUCAAUGUCUAUACAUAGUUUAGUUUUCCACUCUAUUGCGAUUCUGCAAUUUUUCAUUUCCCCCUUUUUUUGGUUCUAAUUUAUGAUUGUUUGAACUUCUUUGUUGCUAAUUGAGUCGGUAUGGGUAUAUAUGGUAAUUCAGGCAGCAUCAGAACUAGUAAAGUCAAGUGUGGAGCCAGUUUUGGAACAAUAUAGGCCUGUGAUUUUGGCGUCGUUAAAAUUUUCAAAGUUCACUCUUGAUACAGUUGCUCCACAAUUCACAGGUUAGUAGAUUAUGGCUGGUGUAACCUGCCUCAAAGCUCUUGUAUAUUGUACUACCUAAAAGUUUUAGGAGUCACUUAUACAUAUGAACAAACUUAUCAGUCCUCUAGGUCUUUAUGGCAUGCUUAUGUCUGGAGUAGCGUAACAUUUCCCUGCACGGACACCACCACCAUCAAAAAAAAAAAACGGCAUAACAUUUUCUUGCCAUUUAUAGCCUCUUGAGAUGUCAAAAUGUGACAAAUAAUUUGAGACAGGCAAGGGUAUAAAAGAUAUUCAAACCUCAAAGAGCAAUCCUAUCAUCUCGUGUCAGUUAAUCCUUAAUAAAAGAAACUGCUUGUGAGGAUGAAUCUCACUACAUUUAACAAAUGCUUGAUCUCAUGUAUAUGCCACUGCAGGGAUUUCUAUUAUUGAAGAUGGAAGUGAGGGUAUUACUAUGGAAUUAGAGAUGCAAUGGGAUGGUACCAUACCAUCUUGGGUGUUUAGCCUACCUUUGCUAUCUUCAGUGUCGCUCCAACAUAACCGAUUCAGAGGUCUAGCUGAUGAAGUGAUCAAAACCGCUCCAACAUAACCGAUUCGGAGGACUAGCCGAUGAAGUGAUCAAAACAAACCCAACAUUAAAACAACUGCAUUUAAGCAAUAAUCAACUCAGUGGUUCUUUUCCUCAAUCACUUGUGAAUCUCACAAACCUUAAAACCCUUGGACUUUCAUCAAAUAACAUCACCAUUGAUGAGGGAAUGAAUAUCACCUUUCUUAGCCCAUCAUCUUUAUUCUUAUCAUCUUGUCAACUGAAGGAUUUUCCACACUUCUUGAGAAAUGUAAAGACACUUGUGUACUUGGAUAUUUCUAACAAUAUGAUUCGUGGUCAAAUUUCUGACUGGUUUAGCGGCAUGAGGUGGGACAACUUGUGGUACCUAAAUAUUUCACAUAAUCUUUUGACAGGUUACCUACCACAAUUGCAUUUCCAUAAUCUAGGGUAUCUUGAUCUGAAAUUUAACUCCCUUCUGGGUCCACUACCCUCAUCCAUUUGUAACAUGAGUUCGCUUAUCUUAUUAGAUUUAUCACGCAACAACUUCAGUAACUACAGUUUCGUAUGAGGAUUCAUUGAGUUUGGUAAUCAAAGGGCAGGAUAUUGAGCUACAAAGAAUCAACACAAUUAUGACAACCAUAGAUCUCUCAAGCAAUCAUUUUGAAGGUGUGAUUCCGAAAACACUAAAGGAUCUCAGCUCACUUUGGCUACUCAAUUUAUCCCAUAACAAUCUCAUAGGUCAUAUUCCAAUGGAACUAGGGCAAUUGAAUACGCUUGAAGCUUUAGAUCUCUCUUGGAAUUGGCUCACUGGAAAUAUUCUGCAGGAACUGACAAGAAUGAACUUUCUGGCCUUCUUAAACGUCUCUCAAAAUCAUCUUGUCGGACCAAUUCCUCACGGUCUACAGUUCAACACAUUCGAAAAUUAUUCGUAUGGCGGAAACCUUGAUUUAUGUGGUCUUCCUUUAUCAAAGCAAUGUGGAACGAGUGAUUCAUCACAUGUUCCUCAACCAUUGGAGUCCGCAGAAGAAGGCGAGUCAUAUUUUUUUAGUGGAUUUUCUUGGGAAUUAGUAGUAAUAGGCUACAGUUUUGGACUUGUCGUUGGAACUGUCAUGUGGAGCCUCAUGUUUAAAUAUCGUAAGUCAAAGUGGUUUGUGGAAUUUUUUGAUGGACUCAUGCCUCACAAAAGAAGAAGGCCAAAGAAGAGAGCUCAGAGACGAAGGACUUAAUGGAAGCUUGAGAGGGC
rnacentral:lncRNA from 1 species